CCUGUAUUUGUGUUUUCUCCACUUUCUUUUGCCAAUGUCUAUAAAUGCCAAUCUCCGUGACAAAAAUGUAUGUUGAAGAAGUCUUGAAAAGCCUUAACAGAUUGACUGAACGUGGUGGCACAUGGAAAAUGCCACUCACCAUGCCAUCUGACUUCAGUGGAAGUGGGUUCCAGUGGCCGUGCAGUCCUUUCACCAACCACCCUAACGGUUUUGAGACAAGGUCUCACUAUGCAGCCAAGGAUGACUACAUCAUCUUCCACCAUUGGCUUUCCAUAUGCUGGUGUUGCAGAUGUACCUCAAACAAAGCAUAGUGAUAAAACCAAAACAGGAGUUGUAUGCUGGAGAGUGGGAGUGAUGGAGAAAGCAGCAUGGGAGAAAGGCCUAUUUG